rnacentral:rRNA from 1 species
CCUACGGGUGGCUGCAGUGGGGAAUUUUGGACAAUGGGGGCAACCCUGAUCCAGCCAUGCCGCGUGUGUGAAGAAGGCCUUCGGGUUGUAAAGCACUUUCGGACGGAACGAAAUCGCGCGGGUGAACAUCCCGCGUGGAUGACGGUACCGUAAGAAGAAGCACCGGCUAACUACGUGCCAGCAGCCGCGGUAAUACGUAGGGUGCGAGCGUUAAUCGGAAUUACUGGGCGUAAAGUGUGCGCAGGCGGCUGAGCAAGUCGAGUGUGAAAUCCCCG